rnacentral:rRNA from 1 species
AUGGGCUACCUUGAUGGCUCGAUCAAGGAACCCGCUGCCGUCAUUGUCACCGAGAAGGAAACCAACGGGAAGAAGGAGACCGUUGAGAUACCCAAUCCAGAGCAUGCGAUCUGGGUUACCCAAGACCAACAGGUCCUUACUUUUCUGCUUGCAUCGUUGUCUCGCGAAGUGCUAAUGCAGGUGUCCAACCACACCACGGUCGCGGGCGUUUGGCAAGCUCUGGUAGAAAGCUUCUCCACGCAAUCCAGGGCGCGCCAGAUUCAACUCCGCUCGGUCAUCGGCAACGCCCGCAAGGGUGAUCUCUCUGCUUCCGCUUACUUCACGAAGAUGAAGGGGCUAGCGGAUGAACUUGCUACUGCAGGAAAGCCCCUGGAUGAGGACGACAUCGUCUCGCACAUCCUCGAGGGACUCAUGCACGAGCCCGACUACAACGGGUUUGUCACCUCCAUCUCCACGCACGCUGCCACCGAUCGGCCGAUCGGUCUCAGCGAACUUUUUUCGCUACUGCUGUCUGUGGAGGCCCGGAUCGCUGCCCAGCACGCUGCCUACACCGCUCACCACUCCGCCAACCUAGCUGCAAAGGGUGGUCGUGGCCGUUACGGCGGCGGUCAGGGCGGCGGACGCGGUGGUUACGACGGCGGCAACUACUCCGACAACUCAGGCAAUGGUGGCGGAGGUGGUGCGCCGCGUCAACAGGGAGGUGAUCGCGGUGACCGUGAACACUGCCAAAUCUGCAAGGAAGAGGGCCACGGUGCGUGGCGCUGCAAGAAAUAG